rnacentral:rRNA from 1 species
GGGUGCGAUAAUACCAACGUUAAUGCAUUAGAUCCCAUCAGAACUCCGCGGUUAUGCACGCUUUGGCUAGAGUAGUACUGGGAUGGGUGACCUCCCAGGAAGUCCUAGUGUUGCAUCCU